rnacentral:rRNA from 1 species
UACGGAGGGGGCUAGCGUUGUUCGGAAUUACUGGGCGUAAAGCGCACGUAGGCGGCUUUGUAAGUUAGAGGUGAAAGCCCGGAGCUCAACUCCGGAAUUGCCUUUAAGACUGCAUCGCUAGAAUUGUGGAGAGGUGAGUGGAAUUCCGAGUGUAGAGGUGAAAUUCGUAGAUAUUCGGAAGAACACCAGUGGCGAAGGCGACUCACUGGACAAAUAUUGACGCUGAGGUGCGAAAGCGUGGGGAGCAAACAGG